CUUUCCCGUCUGCAGUCACCGCAAGAAUAGGCUGGGCUGGGCUGCUGAAGAAGGAGACACAUGGAAUAGAAUGGAGUUGCCCAGUCAUACUGGUUGAGACCUUUCUAUAUCAGAGCAGUAAGCCAGCCCCUAGACAUAAGGAAGCCCAGCAGAAGUCAGCAGAGCUCUUAGGCAAUUCACAGCUGCCUGCAGGGUGAGCCACUGAGCUCAGCUGAGCUGAACCUGUACUGUAUCAGCUGAACCCACAGACUCAAAAUCAUAGUCAAGAUCAGUUUACCUGCAGUGGAAGCCCCUGAAGCCAUGACUGGCAUGCACAUUGAGAAGGCUGUGUUUUUUUCCUGCCUUUUUAACAUGUCAUAAAAUUUUUUGUGAAAAGCUGGACUUAAUGUAUUGGAGAAUUGAAACUGAGUUGGAAGAUUCUGUGCCUGUUGUCAAGGUGACACUCCCCGGAAUUUUAAAGAGAAGUUUUAAAGUAGGAUGCUUUGGCUAGUAUUUGCAGAAACAUAUACACUUUUUUUACAUGAUAAGGAAAACAACAGAUAUUUAUUCUUCAUCCCAGGGGGAAAAAAACCCUUGGAGGAAUAAUUCAGAGGCAACAUCCUUAACGGGUGAUCAGUAGACACAAGACUCAUCCCAGUGAGCCACUGGUUCUGGCAGCUGUGUGACUUUGGACAGAGAUAUCUACAAUCUUUCAAUAUUGUUUGUGCACCAACUGCAUUCUCCACGUUGUAUUACUGCAGAUUUAUUGAUGAGUAAAACAAAUUCCUACCCUCAAGGAGUUUGCAAGCAAAAGAGUGAAAUGAAGAUGAAAGUGCAAUGCUCCACUGUCUUUUCGUGUGCUCAGAGAUUACUUUCUUAAUCUUUAAAAUGAAAGGCUUUUGCCUAAAUGACUGAGUGAUGUUGCACCUAUAACCCUAAUAUUCUUUGAUUCCCAAGGACAAGAAUCAGAACUAACAAGGUAUAUAAUGACAAAAGAAUUUUCAUUAUGAGGAACUUAUCAAGAAAUCAUAGAGUGGAGAGACUUGCACUAAAAACACUUAAAAUGAAUGGGAAGCCCGUCAGCAUAUUGUAUGUCCAUAUUUUCCAAAAAGAGUUAAGUUUGUAAGCUACUGCAUAGGACCAUGGGAAUUCUGGAUGUCCUUGGACUGUAUCACAUGUGGUUUCUUGGCAUCUUAGAUGAUGCAAUUUUUUAUUGCUUUGUCCGUGCAAUAAACGCUGAUAAAUUUUUCGGUUUAAAAUUUACCAAGUCUGCUACUGUAUCCCAGAAUUCUCAAUGAAAGAAAAUAUUUACAGUUUUUAACAUUACAGGUAGAAAAAGGAUCAAAGUGAUUUUCUUAAAUUUCCUUCUAAUUCAUGGAAAAAAGAACACAGUCAGUGAGGGUCUUUGCUCCUGUUCCCCAAUUUUCUUUGUCCAAAUGGCUCAGCCUUGAAUUCAAGAGGAGUGGUGCAGGAUUUAAUUGCUCCCACUUGUCUUCCUUGUGCAAAACUGCAGCUAGAAGAGCAAAUGAUAAGUUGAGAAUAUUUAACACUCAGCAACAAUACCAGGAACUUGUUCAAACUUUGUUUUUGAAGCUUCUUGACCUUCCAAUGAUUUAUUUCUUCCACACAUGGUUUCAUUAGAACUUCACUUGGAGAAGAAGAGAAAUAGCAAAUAACAGCAUCUUUCAUCUAUAACCAGAAUAUUCCAAGCCUUUCAAAAGUUGUUGCAAAAAGAAUAAAGUAUGAGCUACCUAGGCCUUGUUUGUCUGAGUCUUGCAUCCUGCUCAUAAAAGUAACACAAAAUUUUUUCAACAAGGACUAAGAAUGAGCUUAUUAUUUUUUAACAUACAUACAAUUUAUUCAUGAUAAUAUUGCUAGUAGAAGCCUGGAAAUAACUGAGAUGCCAAUAAACAGGAAAAUUACUAAUUAUAUCUAUACAAUGAAAUCUAUGCAACUGAUUUAAAAUUAAGGAUGCACCCUCUUAUUUUUAGUGUGUAUGUAUAAAUGGAUACGUGGUAUGUUGUCAAAGAAGGUUUAGAAGUUCAAUUUAAAUAAUACUGAAGAUACCUGCUAUUGUAUAAGCAAUGAAAAUGCUAUACAGAUGUUCUGAAAUAAAACAAACACACCCAUACUCUGACCACUGAACUUUGGACCAGUAUUGCUCUUCAUUAGUAUCCUAAAAUGUAUGGACAUUUUAUGGGUCAUUGUUCCAAACCUGUCUUUGGAGCUAUUUGGAGUAGCACAGAACCAACCUGUCUUUAGAGCUUCCUUGAGCAGCACAGAAAAGGGACUUUCAGAGCUUCAGGAGACAGUAUUUCAUCCAAGUGCAGCUUCUGGAAGUGAAAUGUAUUUAGAAGGUUUGCUCUGCUAUUGUAAUUUCCCAAGUAGGCCCAUGUGACUCUGCAAACCCUAGGCCUGAGCCAGAUUUGUUUGAAAUGUCAGCCAAACUACCAGCACCUUACAUCAUGAUAUGGUCUGACUCUGUGUUCCCAUCCAAAUCUCAUAUCAAAUUGUAAUUCCCAGUGUUGCAGGAGGGGCCCAGUGGGAGGUGAUCGAAUCAUGGGGGUGGACCUCCCCCUUGCUGUUCUUGUGAUAGAAUUUUCCUUAUAUCUGCUUGUUUAAAAGUGUGUUUAAAGGCACCUUCCCCACACUUCCUGCCAGCCAUAUGAAGAUGGGCUUGCUUCCCUUUCAACUUCUGCCAUGAUUGUAAGUUUCCUGAGGCCUACCCAGAAACAGAAGCCUGUACAGCCUGCAGAACUAUGAGCUGAUUAAACCUCUUUUCUUUAUAAAUUACCCAGUCUCCAGUAUGUCUUUAUAGCAAUGUUGAGAACAGACUAACUCCAUGAGCAUCUCAAAUGUCAUCAUCACAGGUAAUAUCUAUUGAGCUCUCAC
rnacentral:lncRNA from 1 species